rnacentral:rRNA from 1 species
UUGACCUCGGAUCAGGUAGGAAUACCCGCUGAACUUAAGCAUAUCAAUAAGCGGAAGGAACUA